rnacentral:sRNA from 1 species
GUCGAGUUUGGUCUGAUGACACGUUGGC